rnacentral:misc_RNA from 1 species
AGGGCCUCUUUCUUUCGCUUUUCCUUCUCUUGCCUGCCCACCUCUCUCGAAUCCGAGGAGUGAAUCCAACCUUAGUGCUCUGGUAAACCUGCGCACCAUGCCUGCAACCACGGCACGCGCUAAGAGACCUUCAGCGGGGACUAAGAAGCCGUCCACAGCUGAUAGCGCUUUUCCAAAGAUACGCGGCCGCCAUGCGGCCGCCGCAACGGCGCCUCUCUCUUUUGCACCACGUGCGAGCAACGCCGCACAGGCGUCUCUUACGCGAGCGUCGGUACCUCUCAUUCUCGUGCCGGGCUCGGGUGCCGAUACCGUUAGCGCUGCGGCAUCGCAGCUGCGGAACGCGUCAGGCUCGGUUGCCAGUAGCGGCGGCGCGGCGAGCGCAAAGAAGACCUCCGUUGCUGCUCCACGGCCUCCCUUGUCGAAGCCUGCCCGCGGCGGCGGCCACGGUGGCCGCGGAGGAGGCAAGGGCGGCGCCGCCGGUGGUAGCUCGAAGCGUGGUGGCGCAUCGCGCGGCACUUCUGUCACCUCGCGAGGAACACGGUCUACGUCCAAGACACGUCGCUCCACGACGUCGCGUGGCCGAGGUCGAGGUCGCGGCAAGCGCCGCGGAAACAGUGGGCGGCAGCGGCAUCAGCUACAGGUUAUCGCCGCCAGCAUGGAAGCUCUGAAGGAGCAGGAGCAGGCGCUGCGACACAGCGUAGAGGUGGAGGAGGAACUCGAGCUUGAAAGCUAUCGCCCCAUCUACAAUGUGCUGCUGAUGGAGAUGGUGCGGGGCCAGGUGGAGCAGGUGAACCGCCGCCAGCGAAGGCUGAACGAAAUGCUAGAGGCUUUCAAGGAGGAGGGCCUGCUUGGCGGCGGCGGCAUCGGGCUGCACGACGAGCGACAGAUCGACGCCCUCGUGAAGCGGCUACGCGCGCGGCUGCAUACCGACGAAGCCUCGGAGCUGGAGACACUCAAAACAAACAACAGCAACCUCAAGCAUAGCCUCGAUGAAAUCAAACUGGCCAUGGAGAAGAAGAAUAGCGAGAUGGAGGUGCUGCGCGCCAACUACGCACGCAAGCUGGCUAGGACGGAUGUAGAGAACGACGCGGUGCGGGCGAAGGUGGAGGCCGCUCUGCACGCCUCUACCCUCGAUGUAGAGCGCAUGAAGCGGGAACUGAGCCACCGCAUCGACAUCGCGUGCGCCUCCAUCCGCACGCCGCGCUACAACACCUCGAUGGGGGCGCUGCGAGAUCUGGUGCAGCAGGCGCAGGAGGAGGUGCAGCGGCACCACGAUGAGCUGACAAGGCUGGUGGUGUCCAUUGGCGCAAAGGAUACCUUCCUCAAGCACGAGUCUGAGACGAUGCACUCGAAUCUGCCUUCAGCGUACCGAACCGAACUGCGAAAGAUGGAAAAGGACCAGCUGCUGAACCUGCUAGACGUGCUUAGCUUUCAAGAGGGUGUGGUUGAUACUAUCGGCAAGGCAAUCUACAUCAUUACAGAGGCGCAGCACAAGACGGCUGUUGUGUAGGAACAUCUAGUAUGACUGUGCCGUUCAAGCGCGAGCACCUGCGCCGUCUCCCCGAGUCUGUGUGUGGGUGCAGUGGUGAUGGCGGUUCCUUUGGUGUCCUCCACGCACUCUGUGAAGCGCUUCGUCGGUACUCCUUCACAUCUGGGGAGCUUCCUGCCGCCUUCAGGAUGCCUGCAAGAGCGAGAGACCUGUGUACGCGUGUUAGUGCGUGUUGGCCGGGAGAGCAGAAGGGAGCACCACCAUCAUUCAUGGUGACCGUGUGAUAUGCCCUCUUUUGUGGGUGUUUCCAUUCCGUCUCUGUGUCUGCAUUCUUUUUGUCCGAUGAGAUGUCUUGUGAGUUGCCACUUAACAAGCAUCUAGGCGGCCGCAAUGUGCUUUUUGGAAUCACCUUUUUUUUUCGCAUGUUGCUCUCGGCUUCGGUUUGUAUGUAUGUGUGGAGUGCGGAUCUUUCCCACGUAUUCUGCGUGCAGCGCCACUGCUAGACGCACGGGCACGCGUGAAGACAUAGGCACGAGGCACCGUAGAGAGGCGCAGCCUGGGGGAGGGGGAUCUUGCCCAACCCCUUCUCUCCCUCCCUCCACCGGCCCCCGUGCUCUUUUUUUUUCCUUUUCUCUUUGAACGCCUUUUCCGUUUCUUCGGGCUGCUUUUCUUUUUCUCAUGCCAUGUACACUAGCGCAGUGCCGAUGUGCGCUGAGACGGCUUUUCCUUCUUACGCUCUUGUUACCAAGCUUGUGUUCGUGCAGGGAAGAGCGUGCCUACCGAAGUUUUUCGCUCAGCCUCAGAGCGUGCACGAGAGACAGCCACGCACACACACUGGUGUCCUUCGCUGUGCCUGAGUGCCCACUGCAUCAUGUACGCCAUAUACAGAAAAAGCAAAG